AUUUCCUCCUCCUGAUUCCUCCCUUGUGGCUUCACCUCCUUUCAGCCCCACGGAGCGCGAGCGGACGGAGCGGCUGAUCAAGACCAAACUGAGAGAGAUCAUGAUGCAGAAGGAUCUGGAGAACAUCACGUCCAAGGAGAUCCGCACGGAGCUGGAGAUGCAGAUGGCAUGCAACCUGCGUGAAUUUAAGGAAUUCAUUGACAACGAAAUGAUCGUCAUUCUGGGCCAGAUGGACAGCCCCACGCAGAUCUUCGACCACGUCUUCCUGGGUUCGGAAUGGAACGCCUCCAAUUUGGAAGAUUUGCAAACCAGAGG